rnacentral:rRNA from 1 species
AUAAUGGGUCAGCGACUUAUAUUCUGUAGCAAGGUUAACCGAAUAGGGGAGCCGAAGGGAAACCGAGUCUUAACUGGGCGUUAAGUUGCAGGGUAUAGACCCGAAACCCGGUGAUCUAGCCAUGGGCAGGUUGAAGGUUGGGUAACACUAACUGGAGGACCGAACCGACUAAUGUUGAAAAAUUAGCGGAUGACUUGUGGCUGGGGGUGAAAGGCCAAUCAAACCGGGAGAUAGCUGGUUCUCCCCGAAAGCUAUUUAGGUAGCGCCUCGUGAAUUCAUCUCCGGGGGUAGAGCACUGUUUCGGCAAGGGGGUCAUCACGACUUACCAACCCGAUGCAAACUGCGAAUACCGGAGAAUGUUAUCACGGGAGACACACGGCGGGUGCUAACGUCCGUCGUGAAGAGGGAAACAACCCAGACCGCCAGCUAAGGUCCCAAAGUCAUGGUUAAGUGGGAAACGAUGUGGGAAGGCCCAGACAGCCAGGAUGUUGGCUUAGAAGCAGCCAUCAUUUAAAGAAAGCGUAAUAGCUCACUGGUCGAGUCGGCCUGCGCGGAAGAUGUAACGGGGCUAAACCAUGCACCGAAGCUGCGGCAGCGACGCUGAUGCGUUGUUGGGUAGGGGAGCGUUCUGUAAGCCUGCGAAGGUGUGCUGUGAGG